GGGUUGUCAUGCCAAUGGCACUGCCCGGUAGCUAAAUGCGGAAGAGAUAAGUGCUGAAAGCAUCUAAGCACGAAACUUGCCCCGAGAUGAGUUCUCCCAGAGACUAUAAGUCUCCUGAAGGAACGUUGAAGACGACGACGUUGAUAGGCCGGGUGUGUAAGCGCAGCGAUGCGUUGAGCUAACCGGUACUAAUGAACCGUGAGGCUUCACCUUACAAAGCCGAAG
rnacentral:rRNA from 1 species